rnacentral:lncRNA from 1 species
GUUGCAAAUUACUCAAUAACUUUGAAUCCCAAUUUAAACUUGAGAUACAUGAAAUACAACUUGAUAUUUUGUGUGUGUAUAUGUGUGUGUGUAAUUAUCAUCUCAAAAUUAACAUGUAUAAAACUUUUCUUUAAAUUAGUUAAAAUUACUUUGGCUAAGCUUUGAACAUAAUUAGAAUUUCAUAUAUGCUAUAGUUCAACUGACUCAAAUUCUAGGAUGUUAUAUGGGAACUGAGGCCAAUACACGUUAAAUGAAUAGUAGAAGUGGAAGUGGAAAAUCUCUAAGGAUUUUCAUACUUUAUAGUUGGUAUACUUAUUUUACUUGGUGAUAAGUCAAUAGUGUUGCAUUAAAUGUGAAAGUGUUUUAACUGUUCAAAUAAUAACAGUAGUCUUAUUUGAAUAAACAUGGCCAAGUUAAAGAAAUUUAAAUCAGAAAAGGAAACCUACAUAUCAUAUGAUAUAAUGUUCAUUAUUUCUAAUUUUAAUGAUUUAUUUUUCCACACCAGGAAAAUCAUCUUUUGGAGUUUUAUGAAGAACUUCUCAUGGGUCACAGACAUGAAGUUUUCCUUCUCCAAAUUUCUUGCUUUCAAAAGGAAGGACAUUUUGCCAUAUGAACAUAAAAAUUGCAUUGUUUCCUUGACUGAGCCUAAGAAGCCAAUGACUCUCAGGUGAAGCGUUCUAAAGAAUGUUUCAGCUGAUUUUCUUAGUGUAAAUUAAGGAAUGCUUAUGAUUUUAAAAGCAAUGAGGAUAUUUAUUAAUUCAAUGAGCAAGUAUUUACUGAACAUCUCUGAUGUGCAGUGUGCUCUUCCAAGCAAUGAACAGCAUUGUUGCUUGAGGGAAUAAAUGUGCCUGCUUUCACAGAGCCUGCAUUAUAGUUCAGAAAUAAACAGUGAACAAGGAAACUGAUUUACAUAAAUAGUGUAUUUUAAAAUAGUUAUACGAACCAGGAAAAAAAGACUAAGCAGGAUUACAUGAUGAAAUGACUGGUGGGAUCAAUGGGAGAAGGUGGUCAGAAAAGUUUUUUCUGUAUAGCUGACAAUUUAGCCAAAGGAAUCAUUAAUUUAUUACAGAAGUCAGUCUUCUAUACUUUUGAUAAACUUUAAGUCUGCAUAAUGAAUUAAAGUCGCAUAC